GACGAACGCUGGCGGCAUGCCUAAUACAUGCAAGUCGAGCGAACAGAUGAAGUGCUUGCACUUCUGACGUUAGCGGCGAACGGGUGAGUAACACGUAAGGAAUCUACCUAUAAGCGGGGGAUAACAUCCGGAAACGGGUGCUAAUACCGCAUAAUAUCCUCUUCCGCAUGGAAGAAGAUUGAAAGACGGCUCUGCUGUCACUUAUAGAUGACCUUGCGGUGCAUUAGUUAGUUGGUGGGGUAAUGGCCUACCAAGACGAUGAUGCAUAGCCGACCUGAGAGGGUGAUCGGCCACAUUGGGACUGAGACACGGCCCAAACUCCUACGGGAGGCAGCAGUAGGGAAUCUUCCGCAAUGGGCGAAAGCCUGACGGAGCAAUGCCGCGUGAGUGAAGAAGGCCUUCGGGUCGUAAAACUCUGUUAUAAGAGAAGAACAAAUUGUAGAGUAACUGCUACAGUCUUGACGGUAUCUUAUCAGAAAGCCACGGCUAACUACGUGCCAGCCGCCGCGGUAA
rnacentral:rRNA from 1 species